rnacentral:rRNA from 1 species
UACGUAGGUGGCGAGCGUUGUCCGGAUUUACUGGGCGUAAAGGGAGCGUAGGCGGACUUUUAAGUGAGAUGUGAAAUACCCGGGCUCAACUUGGGUGCUGCAUUUCAAACUGGAAGUCUAGAGUGCAGGAGAGGAGAAUGGAAUUCCUAGUGUAGCGGUGAAAUGCGUAGAGAUUAGGAAGAACACCAGUGGCGAAGGCGAUUAUCUGGACUGUAACUGACGCUGAGGCUCGAAAGCGUGGGGAGCAAACAGGAUUAGAUACCCCCGUA